CAGCACCUCAAGGGUCAGGGAUGAUUAUUGGGCUUAAAGCUUCCGUAGCCGGCUCUGUAAGUUUUCGGUUAAAUCUAUGCGCUCAACGUAUGGGCUGCCGAAAAUACUGUAGAGAUAGGGAGUGGGAGAGGUAGACGGUACUCGGUAGGAAGGGGUAAAAUCCUUUGAUCUAUCGAUGGCCACCUGUGGCGAAGGCGGUCUACCAGAACACGUUCGACGGUGAGGGAUGAAAGCUGGGGGAGCAAACCGGAUUAGAUACCCGGGUAGUCCCAGCUGUAAACGAUGCAGACUCGAUGAUGCAUUGGCAUAUAGCCAGUGCAGUGUCGCAGGGAAGCCGUUAAGUCUGCCGCCUGGGAAGUACGUACGCAAGUAUGAAACUUAAAGGAAUUGGCGGGGGAGCACCACAAGGGGUGAAGCCUGCGGUUCAAUUGGAGUCAACGCCAGAAAUCUUACCCGGAGAGACAGCAGAAUGAAGGUCAAGCUGAAGACUUUACCAGACAAGCUGAGAGGUGGUGCAUGGCCGUCGCCAUCUCGUGCCGUGAGAUGUCCUGUUAAGUCAGGUAACGAGCGAGAUCCCUGCCACUAGUUGCUAUCAUUAUUCUCAGGAAUAGUGGGGCGAAUUAGUGGGACUGCCGUUGUUAAAACGGAGGAAGGAAGGGGCUACGGCAGGUCAGUAUGCCCCGAAACUCUGGGGCCACACGCGGGCUGCAAUGGUAGCGACAAUGAGUUCCAAACUCGAAAGAGAGUGGCAAUCUCUAAACGCUACCACAGUUAUGACUGAGGGCUGCAACUCGCCCUCACGAAUAUGGAAUCCCUAGUAACCGCGUGUCAUUACCGCGCGGUGAAUACGUCCCUGCUCCUUGCACACACCGCCCGUCGUUUCAUCGAAGUUUGCUUUUAGCGAGGUGAUGUUUAAUUGGCAUUAUCGAA
rnacentral:rRNA from 1 species